GACGAACGCUGGCGGCGCGCUUAACACAUGCAAGUCGAGCGGUAAGGCCUCUUCGGGGGUGCACGAGCGGCGAACGGGUGGGUAACACGUGGGUGACCUGCCCUCCGCUCUGGGAUAAGCCUGGGAAACUGGGUCUAAUACCGGCUAUGACCUUUCCUCGCCUGGGGGUUGGUGGAAAGUUCUUUCGGCUGGGGAUGGGCCCGCGGCCUGUCAGCUUGUUGGUGGGGGGGUGGCCUACCAAGGCGACGAUGGGUAGCCGGCCUGGGAGGGCGGCCGGCCACACUGGGAGUGAGACACGGGCCAGAUUCCUGCGGGAGGAGGCAGGGGGGAAGAUUGCGCAACGGGAGGAAGCCGGACGAAGCGAGGCCGCGUGGGGGAGGACGGCCUUCGGGUUGUAAACCUCUUUUGACACCGACGAAUUUUGACGGUAGGGGUAGAAGAAGCACCGGCCAACUACGUG
rnacentral:rRNA from 1 species